CUUUUUUUGUGGUGAGAACAAUUAAGAUCUAAUCUCUUAGCAUCCUUGACGUUUAUGAUACAGUAUCACUGACUGUAUUCACUGUUCUGUGCAUUAGCUCUCCAGAACUAAUUUAUUGGCUAGUUGCAAGUGUGUACCCUUACUGUACACAAGUCUCUGUCAUGUGAUAGAUUAGAAGUUUAAAAAUGGGUCCUUUACCACAGAGUUUGAGAAACAUGGGGUUUAGAGAAUUUGGGGUCUUUAGCAUCAUAUAGCAUUACCUGUGAAGCAGAACUGGAAAAGAAAGCUUGAACUGAUUAAUUGAGUCAUGUUAUGGAUGAUGAUUUUUUUUUUUGCAAUUUUUUUUUAAGUGACAUAAGCCUAUUUUGGGGCUCUGAGAAGGCCAAGAGAGAGAAAAGGGUGGGAGAAGGAUCGGAAAUGUAUGAAAUGUUCUGAAUUUUGUGAUGGCUCUAAUUUUUAUGUUUUUUCAUCCAUCAGUACGUCAGACAAACACAUCAGACAAAAUGGAUCUGAGGUCUUCAUGUGGGCCACCAGGUGCCAACUUCAGUGUAAGCAGGUUUGUGGCAACCCAGCCUCAAGCAAGUCUCUCAGCAGCGUUUUUCCAACUGCCUCUGCUCACUUCAUAUCUCUGUGUCACGGUUUGGUAAUUUUCGCAAUAUUUCAAACUUUUUUAUUUGUUUGUUAUGGUGACCUGUGGUCUGUGAUCACUGAUGUUGCUGACUGUUUCAGGGCACCUCAAAUUGUGCCACAGAAGAUGGCAAACUUAAUUGACAAUGUUGUUUAUGUUCUGACUGCUCUCUACCGACCUGCUGUGUUCCUGUCUCUCUCCCCCUCCUCAGGCCUCCCUAUUCCCUGAGAAACAACAAUUGUGAAAUUAGGCCAACAGUCAGCCCACGAUGGUCUCUAAGUGUCCAAGUGAAAGCAAGAGUUGCAUGUCUCUCCCUUUAAAUCAAAAGCUAGAAAUGGUUAAGCGUCGUGAGGAUGUUGUGUUGGAAGCAGAGGUGGGCUGAAAGCUAGGCCUCCUACACCAGUUAGCCAAGUUGCAAAUGCAAAGGAAUAGUUCUUGAAGGAAAUUUAAAGUGAUUCUCCAGUGGGCACAUGAAUGACAAGAGAGCAAAACAGCUCCGUUGCUGAUAAGGAGAAACUUUCAGUGGUUGGAAUAGAAGAUCAAACCAGCCAUAGCAUUUCCCUAAGCCAAAAACUAAUCUGGACCCUCACUCUCUUCAGUCCUGGGGAGGCUGAGUGCAGUGAGGAGGCUGCGGAAGAAAUGUGGGAAGCUAGCAGAGUGUGGUUGUGAUUUACUCCUGGGGAAGAAGUUGUGAAGGAGUUGAAAUGAUAACACAGGAUUUAGAAUACGACACAGACCUAGUUGGUAAAGCAGCAGCAGGGUUUGAGAGGACCAAGUUUAAUUUUGGAAGAAGUUCUAAUGGAGAUAAAAUGCUAUCAAACAGCAAGCAUGCUACAGAAAAACAUCAUUCAUGAAAGAGGAGUCAGUCAAUGUGGUAAAUUUCAUUGCUGUCUUAUGUUAAAAAGUUGCCACAGCCACCCCAUCCUUCAGCAACCACCACCCUGAUCAGUCAGCAGCCAUUGAUGCUGAGGCAGGACCAUCUACCAGCAAAAAAAAAGUGACCUGAUGGUCACAUUUAGUUGGUGGUUAGCAUUUCUUAACUAAGGUGUUUUUAAAUUAAGAUUAUACAUUUUUAGGGGCGCCUAGGUGGCUCAGUUGGUUAAGCAUCUGCCUUUGGCUCAUGUCAUGAUCGGAUUUCUGGGCUGGAGCCCCGCAUGGAGCUCCCUGCUCAGCAGGGAGUCUGCUUCUUCCUCUUCCCCUCCCCCUAGCUCAUGCAUGCACACUCUCUUCCUCUCUCAAAAUCUUAAAAAAAAAAAAAAAGAUUAUACUUUUUUUAGACAAAAUACUAUAGCAUACUCAAUGGGCUACCGUAUAAACAUAACUUUUGCAUGCACUGGGAAAUAAAAAUACUCAUUCGCCUCACUUUAUUGUGAUAUUUGCUUUAUUACAGUGGUCUGGAAUCAGACCUGCUAUAUCUUCGAGGUAUGCCUGUAUUAGUACAUGCAGCACAUAUCACACAGCAGAAAGCCAAAUCAAAAGUAAACAAAAUGGAAGCUUCGAAUUCCAGCUCAUGCAGCAUCCUCAACAAGGCACAGUAUGUUUGUAAAAAAGCGACAAGACAAAGCAGUUGUAGUCUCCAAGGGCAGCAAACCGUGGGAAGGUAAAUCUAUGAGCAGAAACAAAUGGAGUAAGGUUUGUUGGCAGAUUCCUCUGUUGCAUCUCUGGGCUACUAGGAGUCUGUCUCUGUAAAAAGAGAAUUUAUGCCCUGUCUUUAGGUACAAAAGGGGGAGAUUUUGAUAGGUUUGCUCCUUCUAAUUGCUUUCAGCUCAAAAUAAUGUUUGUGUUAUAACGGCACAUUUAGAGGUUUCCUACAUAGGCUACAGCUCCCAUCGCCUCAAAUUCAACUUGAACUUGAUUCCCGAGCCUCCCCAGCUGGUUCACUUCUACCAGUGCUCCUGUUUCUAUGCCUGCACCCACUGUUCUUCAAACCUGUGAUGUCUGAUAUUUCCAAGGUCACCUUUAAGCCAUCUAUCUCCUUCUCAUUCCUCAUUGAGUCCCACCAAUUCUGUAGGUCAUCUCUUUUAGCUCUUCCUGGAGUCUGUCCUCAUGUUAGGACUGCUUCAGUUUUGUUUUGUUUUAAGAGUUUAUUAUUAAGUAAUCUCUAUACCCAAAUGGGGCUCAAACUCACAACCCUGAGAUCAAGAUUCACGUGCUCUACUGACUGAGCCAGUCAGGUGCCCCAGGACUAUUUCAGUGCUAGGUGACAAAACCCAACCCAAACCGGUGCAAGCACUAAAAUCGGGUUCACAUAUCUGAAAAGCUGGGUGUAGGCCCUCCCAAGCCAUUUUCAGAAAUUGGCCUUUCUCUAUCUCUUGGUCUGUUUUCUCUUUGUUUUCAUUAUUAGGCAAGCCUUUCCCCUGCCCUGUCAAAUAUGGAAGAUGAAUGCUUCACGAUCCUUGUAUGACUAAGGAAAUUCCUAUUCAUUCCUGUUCUGUUUCUACUAUUCAAAUUGAGCUCUACUGGCUUGCUUUUUGCUUUUCAUGCUAAAUCAUGCAAUUCCCGUGCCUGAUCUAAAUUAAGAAGAAGAAGAAAAAGCAAGUCAUUAACAAAAAGAGUCUCAGAAAGAGAUGGAGAUGUUUGCUCGUUGGUAGGCCCGGAGGAGGAGAGACGUCUUUAACAUUUACAACUUGUUAAAAAAGAUCUGACUUAAUGGGGCGUUAAACUGAUAACAUUCAUUAGAACAUCAAACUUGUUUUUCUGUAUAAUAUAGAGACUUCUGUGUGUAUUCCUAAGUGUUACCAACUUGUUCUGUUCACUGUCUUUGGAAGAAUAAUUCAAACAAUGGGGUCUAGUAAAACAGCUAAGACUUAAAGAAAUGUUGCAAAAAUAACCUUCAAAGAAUAACCUGUGUCUCUGAUUUGUUAUCUUACUUGAUAAUGUGUUGGCCUGGUAAUAAUGGUGAAAUUGCCACUCCAGCAUUUAUGAAACCAUGUGAACUCUUGCAAAUAUUUUAGGGUUUGUGUGUUAUACGGUUUUUGCUACAACUACUCCACUCACUCGGCCCUUGUGGCAACAAAGCAGCCAAUAAGCAAAUGAGUGUGGCUGAGGUCCAUUACCACUUUAUUUAAGGAUACUGAAGUUUUAAUUUUAUACAACUUCCCUAGGCCAUGAACUACUAUUCUUCUUGUGAUUUUUCAACUAUUUAAAAAUCUAUAAACCUUUCUUAGGUCACAUUUGCCCCAAGUGCUUGAUCUCAAACUAUCUUCCUCCAUUCAUUCAUGUAGCUAACUCCCUUAUCUCUGCACUGUCUCUGCACUGUCCUUUCUUAAUGAGGCCUAAUCUGACCAUCCUGUUUAAAACUGUAACCUGCAUCAUUUCCCACUGCCCGCCAUGGUCCCGACCUCUACCCCACACUCCUCUUACUUCAUUAUGAUUUUCCCAUAGGACUUACACAUUCUAAAAUACUAAAUAAUGUACUUAUUUAUAAUAAUAUUGUCUUCCCUUGCCAGAUGGCAAGCUGUCUGGGAGGAGGGGUUUCCGUGUAUAGGUUCACAGGUGCAUCCAAAGUAUCUGGAAGACUGUCUGGCACACAGAUGAGACUUAGCAGCUUUGCUGAAUAAUUAAACAGAUAGAUUCAUGACCCAUCAAACCCCAGAUCAACUGCUAGUUUGAAGUUCAGGUUAGUUGAUGGUAAAAGUUGGUUUCUCCUUCCUGAAGCAUAGAGGGGUUAGUCUUCAGAAAUGAAAUUGUCUGUGCUUCAGUUCCCGUUGGACAUUUCAUUCAAGAUAGGCCAAAGGACUCCUUCCAUUGCAGGGAAAAAAGACAAAAGACUUUUUGUAAAAAAGAGAUUGAAUACUUAGAACCCAUUAUACUUCUUUUCCAAAAUUAGCUUUAUCCCCUACUCAAUUCUGUGGGUCCCUUCAGCACGCUGUCUGAAUCCUCUUCCAACUGCUCUACAGUUGGGGGUGGUUGGGGUUGAUUCCAAAUGGCUAGAAACUUAGGGCCCUGAAAUAAACAAAGUCAGG
rnacentral:lncRNA from 1 species